rfam:Rattus norvegicus chromosome 8, whole genome shotgun sequence.
GGGGAUUUAGCUCAGUGGUUAGAGCGCUUGCCUAGCAAGCGCAAGGCCCUGGGUUCGGUCCCCAGCUCCG